CACGUAGGGCGCAAGCGUUGUCCGGAAUUAUUGGGCGUAAAGAGCUCGUAGGCGGUCUGUUGCGUCCGCUGUGAAAACUCGGGGCUUAACCCCGAGCCUGCAGUGGAUACGGGCAGACUAGAGGUAGGUAGGGGAGAAUGGAAUUCCCGGUGUAGCGGUGAAAUGCGCAGAUAUUGGGAAGAACACCUGAGGCGAAGGCGGGUUGCUGGGCUGACACUGACGCUGAGGCGCGAAAGCCAGGGGAGCAAACGGG
rnacentral:rRNA from 1 species